GGGGAUACAGCUCAGUGGUAGAGUACUUGUCUAACAUACACGAGGUUCUGGUUUCAAUCCCCAGCACCA
rnacentral:tRNA from 1 species